rnacentral:rRNA from 1 species
UUAACACAUGCAAGUCGAGGGGAAACGACAUCGAAAGCUUGCUUUUGAUGGGCGUCGACCGGCGCGCGGGUGAGUAACGCGUAUCCAACCUGCCCACCACUUGGGGAUAACCUUGCGAAAGUAAGACUAAUACCCAAUGAUAUCUCUAGAAGACAUCUGAAAGAGAUUAAAGAUUUAUCGGUGAUGGAUGGGGAUGCGUCUGAUUAGCUUGUUGGCGGGGUAACGGCCCACCAAGGCGACGAUCAGUAGGGGUUCUGAGAGGAAGGUCCCCCACAUUGGAACUGAGACACGGUCCAAACUCCUACGGGAGGCAGCAGUGAGGAAUAUUGGUCAAUGGACGAGAGUCUGAACCAGCCAAGUAGCGUGCAGGAUGACGGCCCUAUGGGUUGUAAACUGCUUUUAUAAGGGAAUAAAGUGAGUCUCGUGAGACUUUUUGCAUGUACCUUAUGAAUAAGGACCGGCUAAUUCCGUGCCAGCAGCCGCGGUAAUACGGAAGGUCCGGGCGUUAUCCGGAUUUAUUGGGUUUAAAGGGAGCGUAGGCCGGAGAUUAAGCGUGUUGUGAAAUGUAGACGCUCAACGUCUGCACUGCAGCGCGAACUGGUUUCCUUGAGUACGCACAAAGUGGGCGGAAUUCGUGGUGUAGCGGUGAAAUGCUUAGAUAUCACGAAGAACUCCGAUUGCGAAGGCAGCUCACUGGAGCGCAACUGAC